rnacentral:rRNA from 1 species
UUAAAACCCAAAGGACUUGGCGGUGCCCCAAACCCACCUAGAGGAGCCUGUUCUAUAAUCGAUAACCCCCGCUUAACCUCACCCCUUCUUGCCAAAACCGCCUAUAUACCACCGUCGCCAGCCCACCCCGUGAGGGAAACGCAGUAGGCAAAAUGGCCCCCGCCAGAACGUCAGGUCAAGGUGUAGCGUAUGAAGUGGGAAGAAAUGGGCUACAUUUUCUGACUCAGAAUACACGGAAGGUCACUAUGAAACCUGACCCAAAGGAGGAUUUAGCAGUAAAAAGAAACAAGAGAGUUCUC